CACCUGAUGGGAUGAACUUCUAAGCAACAAUAACAUGAGGUGGACAGACAGCGGUUACUGCCCGAGAGCAGCUCCAAUGACCAGCAGCAGCGGCUCGGAGGGAGGGGUGGGGGUUACUUCCAGCUGAGGCGACGGAGGAGACGAGGAUGUGGUCUCACUGCUGCUGAGUAUAGGUCAGAUCCCGGAGAGCUUGAUGCUUGUAAACAGUUCCAUAAAUACUCUAUCAACAGCUGUAUUCCAGUGGUGGUGGCAACCCUACAUACACAGAAGACUAAAACCAUUUGGAGCCAACGGGAGGACACAGACAGACCCUCUUUGCUCUGAAAUGUCUCCGGGUUUAGAAAUCUAAACACAUAUUCCAGUUGGUCAAACUUCCUGAAGGACUGGGAGAGAUUAUAAGGUUGCAUAAUGCAGCUAAACGACUGUACUGCUUGAGUUUCCCUCCACCCCCACACUGGGACCAGUGUUAGGAGAGGCAGCUGGGGCUGGAGGAUGGGAAACAGAAGGGCAGAGAAACAUGGGAAGUGCACCCAAGAAUCAAGAACCUUCCAACAGGCUCUGGGAAAAAAAGCUGUUGCACUAGCUUUCUCAGAACUGGAAAACAACAUAAGGUGGUGGUUGCAUGUUGCUGUCACUCAUGAAUUUGAGUCCAGGUUCUUUCUCUAACCAGCUGUGUAUCCCAGACCAAUUCAGUCUGUAAGAUUUGUCUUCCUUACCCACAAAAAUGGGGCUAGUAACUAUGCUUACCUCUUCGAGUUUCUGUGGGGAUUAAGUAGGAUAAAUGCAAGGAAAGUGUUUUGGAAGUACCUGGUGCAAGGGAAGUACAUAAUAUUAAUAGAAACAGUGCUUAAUUUUCAACAGAAUCCAUGACAAUAAAGGCACGAGGCUUUUCCAGUCUUAGAAACCUAUUAAUAAGGGUGCUUGUGUGGCUCAGUCGGUUAAGCAUCUGCCUUCCAGCUCAGGUCAUGAUUCCAGAGUCCUGGGAUCGAGUCCCGCAUCAGGCUCCCUGCUCAGCAGGGAGUCUGUUUCUCCUUCUCCCUCUGCUUCUUCCCACUGCUCAUGCUCGCUCAUACACUCUCUCUCUCAAAUGAAUAAAUAAAAAUUCUUAAAAUAAAAAAGAAACCUAUCAAUAAUACAUCUGCUUCCUGUGGACAAGUUGUUCAAUCCCAAACUUUCAAGGACUUCUGUUUGUAUCUUUUUUGUUUGUUUUUAAACAAAGCUGGCCCAAGUCUCAUACCAUAAAAUUCCUCCAUUCCCAUAAUCUUGCCUACAGUUCCACUGUAAGGGCUUUACUCUAGAAUCCAGAGGGGUCAGCAAGCUACCUGGUGAGAGCCAGAGAGUAAAUCUUGUAGGCUUUGUAGGUGACACAUGGUCUCUGCCAUGUAUUCUUCUUUUUUACAUUUUUAACUUGAGAGGACUAUGUAGGCUGGAUUUGGCCCAAGGGCCAGGGUUUGCGGGCCCCUGCUAGAUGAAGGCUUAAAGAAACCUGGAGUUUGUCUGAUUAAAUUGCCCAUCUGCAUAAACGGGUCUUUGGGAAGUAUCUAACAGGGAAAGGGGCUCUUUGCCUUCUCUCUCUCUCUCUCUCUCUCUGUCAGGAGAGGAGAGGGCAACGGUGGCCACAGAGGGAAGGGACCCAUCACAGAGAUUAGCUGGUUGAAUGACGUAAAGUAGACAGGAAGAUGGGGGUCACGUCUACACUGCCUGAGUCUGCCCAGGGCCAGCCUGUUUCAGACUAUUUAGCCAUCAGUGAAGAACAGGUGAGAACCAGACUAACAUCUGGGCUUCAAUAUGGCUUUCAUCCCACUACUCAGAAAUACUGUCAUUUUUCAGCAGUCCAACCCAGGAAGAUGCUCAGAAGUUAAAAGGCUAAAGUCCAAUUUCAUAAAUAAUUCACUCCUGUUGAUAGGUUCGCCUCAUCUCGUAAGUUUUCAUUCCAAGCAGCAGAAGAUG